GCCCCUGUAGUUCAACGGAUAGAACGAGCGCGUCCUAAGCGUUAAAUGAAGGUUCAAUUCCUCCCGGGGGCA
rnacentral:tRNA from 1 species